CCUACGGGAUGCAGCAGUGGGGAAUAUUGGACAAUGGGCGAAAGCCUGAUCCAGCCAUGCCGCGUGUGUGAAGAAGGCCUUCGGGUUGUAAAGCACUUUCAGUGGGGAAGAAAGCCUUGGGGCUAAUACCCUCGAGGAAGGACAUCACCCACAGAAGAAGCACCGGCUAACUCCGUGCCAGCAGCCGCGGUAAUACGGAGGGUGCGAGCGUUAAUCGGAAUUACUGGGCGUAAAGCGCGCGUAGGCGGUCUGAUAAGCCGGUUGUGAAAGCCCCGGGCUCAACCUGGGAACGGCAUCCGGAACUGUCAGGCUAGAGUGCAGGAGAGGAAGGUAGAAUUCCCGGUGUAGCGGUGAAAUGCGUAGAGAUCGGGAGGAAUACCAGUGGCGAAGGCGGCCUUCUGGACUGACACUGACGCUGAGGUGCGAAAGCGUGGGUAGCAAACAGGAUUAGAUACCCCGGUCGUC
rnacentral:rRNA from 1 species